rnacentral:rRNA from 1 species
AAGGGCACCACAAGAACGCGUGGAGCAUGUGGCUUAAUUUGACUCAACGCGGGAAAUCUUACCGGGUCCGGACACACUGAGGAUUGACAGGCAAUAUUAGCAAUUUACUUAAUCCGUUCUGCGGUGACAGUAGUUGUUAUGUUAAAUAUGCUAGUCCUUUCAUGAUUAUGUGAUAGGUGGUGCAUGGCCGUUCUUAGUUCGUGGAGUGAUCUGUCUGCUUAAUUGCGUUUCACUAAGGGCCUAUAAUUUAACGUGUGUUGCGGCACUUUGACCCCUCUUCGGAGCGUGUGUCUUAGCUUGUUUAGCUCACACAAUUAGGUCCUGAAAGCAACGAACGUGACCGCAACCUCUUGUUGCCUUUAUACCAAACACAGUUUUUUUUCGGAAAUUCUGUGAAAAAAGGCUUUUUAAACUAGAGGGACCGCUGUUACUUUCUUAAACCAGAGGAAGGUUGCGGCAAUAACAGGUCUGUGAUACCCUUAGAUGUUCCGGGCUGCACACGUGCUACAAUGAUUAUUGCAGUGAGCAUCUCAUUUUUUACACACCGCAUUCACGAGUCCAUUUAUUCAUUCCUUCGGGUUUGCUUUAAAUGUGCAUCUCUGUGAGCGGUAAAGCCUGCUUCGAAAGUAAGUGGGUAAUCAAUUAGAAGUAAUGAUUUCCUUUUUUUCAGCACACAUAUAUACGGCGUUUAUACCCGGGCUGUCCUUGUUGAUAGCUUUUGUGUGUAUAGAUGUUUUUUCCGUAUGUGCAAUUGUCAAUUCAUGGUGGGGACAGACCAUUGUUAAUUGUUUGUCUCGGUCUUAACUAGGAAUGCCUUGUACGGGUCUUUGGUUCAACAAACCACCCGGAAUACGUCCCUGCCCUUUAUACACACCGCCCGUCGCUCUUACCGAUGGACUUCUCUGUGAGCUUGAGGGACCGGGAACGCAGUUUAGUUUUAUUACUAAUACUGCACACCUAUGGAAACUUAAACGAACAGUGUGGUCUAAAGGAAAGAGAAGUCGUAACAAGGCAUCGGUAGGUGAACCUGCAGAAGGAUCA